rnacentral:rRNA from 1 species
UCCUACGGGAGGCAGCAGUGGGGAAUAUUGCACAAUGGGGGGAACCCUGAUGCAGCAACGCCGCGUGAAGGAAGAAGGCUUUCGGGUUGUAAACUUCUAUCAAUAGGGACGAAAAGAAUGACGGUACCUAAAUAAGAAGCCCCGGCUAACUACGUGCCAGCAGCCGCGGUAAUACGUAGGGGGCAAGCGUUAUCCGGAAUUACUGGGUGUAAAGGGAGCGUAGGCGGCAUGGUAAGCCAGAUGUGAAAGCCCGCGGCUUAACCGCGCGGAUUGCAUUUGGAACUAUCAAGCUAGAGUACAGGAGG